AGUGAACGCUGGCGGUAGGCCUAACACAUGCAAAUCGAACGGCAGCACAGUAAGAGCUUGCUCUUACGGGUGGCGAGUGGCGGACGGGUGAGGAAUACAUCGGAAUCUACUUUUUCGUGGGGGAUAACGUAGGGAAACUUACGCUAAUACCGCAUACGACCUACGGGUGAAAGCAGGGGAUCUUCGGACCUUGCGCGAUUGAAUGAGCCGAUGUCGGAUUAGCUAGUUGGCGGGGUAAAGGCCCACCAAGGCGACGAUCCGUAGCUGGUCUGAGAGGAUGAUCAGCCACACUGGAACUGAGACACGGUCCAGACUCCUACGGGAGGCAGCAGUGGGGAAUAUUGGACAAUGGGCGCAAGCCUGAUCCAGCCAUACCGCGUGGGUGAAGAAGGCCUUCGGGUUGUAAAGUCCUUUUGUUGGGAAAGAAAAGCAGCAGGUUAAUACCCCGCUGUUCUGACGGUACCCAAAGAAUAAGCACCGGCUAACUUCGUG
rnacentral:rRNA from 1 species